UACGUAGGUCACGAGCGUUAUCCGGAUUUACUGGGCGUAAAGCGCUUGUAGGUGGCCUUGUAAGUUGGGCGUGAAAACACCGGGCUUAACUCGGUGACGCCGUCCAAUACUGUGAGGCUGGAGGAUGUCAGAGGAAGGUGGAAUUCCUGGUGUAGUGGUGAAAUGCGUAGAUAUCAGGAGGAACACCCGUGCCGAAGGCGGCCUUCUGGGGCAUUCCUGCAACUGAGAAGCGAAAGCUAGGGGAGCAAACAGG
rnacentral:rRNA from 1 species